rnacentral:rRNA from 1 species
UGGGGAAUAUUGCACAAUGGGCGAAAGCCUGAUGCAGCAACGCCGCGUGCGGGAUGACGGCCUUCGGGUUGUAAACCGCUUUCAGCAGGGACGAAGGUUUUCUGACGGUACCUGCAGAAGAAGCACCGGCUAACUACGUGCCAGCAGCCGCGGUGAUACGUAGGGUGCGAGCGUUGUCCGGAAUUAUUGGGCGUAAAGAGCUUGUAGGCGGUCCGUUGCGUCGGAAGUGAAAACUCAGGGCUUAACCCUGAGCCUGCUUUCGAUACGGGCGGACUUGAGGGAUGUAGGGGAGAACGGAAUUCCUGGUGGAGCGGUGGAAUGCGCAGAUAUCAGGAGGAACACCAGUGGCGAAGGCGGUUCUCUGGACAUUUCCUGACGCUGAGAAGCGAAAGCGUGGGGAGCAAACAGGCUUAGAUACCCUGGUAGUCCACGCCGUAAACGGUGGGCACUAGGUGUGGGACCCAUUCCACGGGUUCCGUGCCGUAGCUAACGCAUUAAGUGCCCCGCCUGGGG